GACGAACGCUGGCGGCGUGCUUAACACAUGCAAGUCGAACGGAAAGGCCCUGCUUUUGUGGGGUGCUCGAGUGGCGAACGGGUGAGUAACACGUGAGUAACCUGCCCUUGACUUUGGGAUAACUUCAGGAAACUGGGGCUAAUACCGGAUAGGAGCUCCUGCUGCAUGGUGGGGGUUGGAAAGUUUCGGCGGUUGGGGAUGGACUCGCGGCUUAUCAGCUUGUUGGUGGGGUAGUGGCUUACCAAGGCUUUGACGGGUAGCCGGCCUGAGAGGGUGACCGGCCACAUUGGGACUGAGAUACGGCCCAGACUCCUACGGGAUGCAGCAGUGGGGAAUAUUGCGAAAUGGGCGGAAGCCUGAUGCAGCAACGCCGCGUGCGGGAUGACGGCCUUCGGGUUGUAAACCGCUUUCGCCUGUGACGAAGCGGGAGUGACGGUAAUGGGUAAAGAAGCACCGGCUAACUACGUG
rnacentral:rRNA from 1 species